rnacentral:rRNA from 1 species
UUAUUUUAGCGGCGGACGGGUGAGUAACGUGUGGGCAACCUACCUUUUACUGUGGAAUAAUCGUUGGAAACGACGACUAAUACCGCAUACGAUUUUCUGAAGGCAUCUUUGGGAAAGGAAAGGAAAUAUUCGGUAAAAGAUGGGCCCGCAUCUGAUUAGCUAGUUGGUGAGAUAAUAGCCCACCAAGGCAACGAUCAGUAGCCGACCUGAGAGGGUGACCGGCCACAUUGGGACUGAGACACGGCCCAAACUCCUACGGAAGGCAGCAG